AAAAUAAAAGGCAAUGUUCGGUGGACGGACGUCGUUUCGACUUUUGUAUUCCGUCAUGCAAUAAUUUUUGUCAUUCAUGAAUUCAUUGGUAAAAAGAUAUUUAGGUGGAGUCACCGUCGCAAACGUUAGAUUAUAAAUAAAAAUGUUGUUUUAGUAUUCGAUUUCGCGUAGUAUAUAAUAAAGCACUUGAUAGGUCUGUGACAAGUACGGUAAUGGUGGCCAUGUCAUGAAAAUCCCCACAGCCAUGGAUGAUAGCUCCGUUUCUCAUCACAACGGAGGGCAAGUGGGAUCUGAAAUAGGUGUUAGUGUAAAUAAUAAACAAAAUGAAGAAUCUAGUCAAAGUGUCCAGUAUUCGAUACCGGGCAUUUUGCAUUUUAUCCAACAUGAAUGGGCGAGAUUCGAACUCGAAAGAUCACAAUGGGAGGUGGAUAGAGCUGAGUUUGAGGCACGGAUUGCCUUCCUUCAAGGUGAAAGGAAGGGCCAAGAAAAUUUAAAAAAUGAUCUGGUUAGGCGGAUCAAAAUGCUUGAAUAUGCAUUAAAACAGGAAAGAGCAAAGUUUCAUAAACUGAAGUAUGGUGUGGAACUGCAACAGGGAGAUAUGCGCCCACCACCAGAUGAGCCACCUGUAGAACCAGAGCCAGCAGAAAGAACACAGUGGAAGCAGGGUCGUCAACUUAUAAAACAAUACCUGCAGGAAGUAGGUUAUACAGACACAAUACUGGAUAUUCGUUCUAAUCGAGUAAGAACAUUAUUGGGUGUGAAUAAUGAGGAGCAGGCUGAGGAGUCCAAUUAUAGAAAUUGUGAUAAGCAUCAUUAUUCCACAAACACAGCUGUUGGCCGCAAAAUGAUGAUGUAUGACUAUGGUGGUAAAGAGCAACAACGCAAAGGUGCUGUGUCUAGUGGUGGAGGUUACAAUGAGGAAGGGCUCUCAGUGCAAGAAAAUGCAGUUUUUGCUAACUUUGAAUUCCUGGCUAAUCAAGAGAUGGAUAUGGACGAAAUUGAAGAUUUAAAUGCCAAACAAAUGCACCACACUACAAAUAAACAAGGUGAAGAAGUAGACCAUGAAGCAGAAGAAGUGCUUAAUGAGCUGAAUUUGCUUACCGAAACUGAGGCUGAUGGUGGUGGUCAGGGUGAUGAAUAUGUUGUGAAAUUCCCAAGCGGUACCACCAGUAGUGGGCCAGCUGGUGAAGCGGAUGAGAAGCCUCUAGCGCUUGGCGAGCUCGCGCAGCUCACGGUCAGCAAUGAGCCAGAAGGAUACGAUGUGGCCGGCGCCAGCAAAGAGUCUUUCCGCAAAACGUGGAACCCCAAGUAUACGCUGCGUUCACAUUUUGAUGGGGUACGGGCUGUUGCUUUCCAUCCCACCGAGGCAGCAUUAGUCACAGCGUCCGAAGACCACACCCUUAAGCUGUGGAAUCUCCAACGAACAGUACCAGCUAAGAAGUCGGCCGGCUUGGAUGUGGAGCCCCUGUACACGUUCAGAGCGCACUCCGCUCCAGUGCUGUGCCUGGCCAUGGGGGCUCCUCGCUCAGAGGAAUGCUUCUCUGGAGGAAUUGAUGGGACAAUCCGUGUGUGGAACCUACCUUCGCUCACUGCCGAUCCUUAUGACCCAUAUGAUUCUGCUGUACAGGGCCCCGUGCUACGCGAGCACACGGACGCGGUGUGGUCGCUGUCGUGGUCGCACGGGCGGCUGCUGUCCGCGUCGGCGGACGGCACGGCGCGGCUGUGGGCGCCGCGCGCGCCGCGCCCGCUGCUGUGCACGCUGCGCGACGACGUGGCGCCCGCGCCACUGGCGCCGCCCGCGCCCGCCGCCGCCGACUUCGCCGACGCGGCCACGCGGGCCGCCGUCGUCUACAACGACGGCUCGCUGCUGCUCUACGAUCUGGAGACUUCGCAGACGGUGCUGCGCGUGUCGUGCGCGAGCCCGGCGCACCGCGUGCGCUCGCACCCCACGCUGCCGGUGCUGGUGACGGCGCACGAGGACCGCCACAUCCGCUUCUGGGACGCGGUGUCGGGCCGCUGCGCCAACGCGAUGGUGGCGCACCUGGACGCCGUCACCGGCCUGGCGCUCGACCCCAACGGCCUGUUCCUGCUCUCCGGCUCGCACGACUGCUCCGUGCGCCUCUGGAACCUGGACACCAAGACGUGCGUGCAGGAGAUCACGGCGCACCGCAAGAAGUUCGACGAGGGCAUCCUGGACGUCGCCUUCCACCCGAUGCGGCCCUACAUCGCGAGCGCCGGCGCCGACGGGCUCGCCAAAGUGUUCGUCUGAACGCCGCAUCGUAUAAUGUACAUGUCGUUUCACUCCAGCCCCGCCCCGGUGCGACCGGGCGGCGCGAGUGUAUGUUAUCAGUAGCGCGUCGCCCGUAGACCGUCGACCGACCUCGGAGCGUCUAGUCGUCUCGUCCGGUCGCAGAUUCGACGACCGCCGCCGUGUAAUCCUUACGUUUCAUGAAGGCGCACUCGAUAUGUACUUUCUUAAAUUUAUGUGUAUUAUUCAGUGUUAUGAUUCUAUCGAAAUGCGGAAGCUCCCCACUUUCAGUUUCGAACGUACGUCUGUAGGAUAAAUCGUGGAACGUAUAUGAUACGACAGUAGAGGGGCGGUGUUCGUGAAAUGCAAUGAUUAUACGUUUCGUUUUUAACGUAUUUAAAAAUAUUGUAACGUAACGUUCCGGGCGCGCUUCGACGCUCGUCACAAGCGCGUAGUGGACACUCAUCUAUGUAUAGACAUUUGGAAUCUAUUAUAAUAUAUUUUUAGACUUUCAGUAUGUGGAUUUUAGGUUUUUAUCGCGACUUUUUCACCGAUUUUAAUAUACGCAGUGAGUUAAAGAUAUUGUUCGUUUCUAUGCAUCUGUAAGCGAGACCUUUGUAAUAAAUAUUAUGAGGAUAUCGAAGAUGUUUCUUUGAUACGUUCGUGUCACGUAUCUGUACAGUUAGAUUUUAUGCAGUAUUUGAUAUUUUGCAGAUAACGUUCGAAGUGAUUACAUUAGCUAGUAUAUAUUUUAUUUAAAUCGUUUCGAUUUAUAUAGACGAUACUUACGUUUUGUCUUAUGUACUGAAUCUUGCUCUCAUAAUAUCUCGUGCAAUGAGGAGCGGUCGAACAAAAAUUGAAUGGCUAGGAGUACUGUAUUGGAAGUAACAUAAGUAAUGUUUGUUCAUAACGAAUACUGCAAUGUAGAAUAUAUAUUAUAAAACAUUACAUAAUUAUUCCUUUAUUUUCCUCGAAUUCAUAUGUACACAUACAUCCAAAUUGAUAGUAAAAAGCAACAUAACCGAA
rnacentral:misc_RNA from 1 species